ACGAGUUUGAUGUGACAGCAUUCAAGUAAUACUUAUUGCAGGCUUCUCAAAUGUAAAUAUAGGUCGAUUCAGGAUCACAACUUUCUUCUUUUUUUCUUUUCUUCAUUUUUCGCUUCUAACCCAGAAUUCAGUCAGUGGCCCGUCCGAUUCACAAAUAUGUCCACUUUAUUUUGCUUUUUAGUCGAUUUUAAGCGACGAAAACGUCAUACUUCCGUCUCAUUAUGCUUGGAAUAUAACGGCGAGUAUUCAUAUACAUGAUUUAAGGAGUGGAAUGAUUCAUACAUAGAAAAUAAUAAAAAUGUGCCCUUGGAUACCUCUUAAUCAACUGAGGGAAGUGUUUUUAUUGGUGCCUAUUGUGAUCUGUGCCAAACCGAGAUUCAACAUGCAAAUAGAGCCACCGCCGCCAUUAAGAAAUGCAGCAGAAAUAGACGCAGCUUUCAGAGAACAUGAAAUUAUUCCAGAUUUAUUGUCUAAAGCACCAAAAUAUACCUUAGAGGUCGCAUUUCAUAGAGAAUACUAUGUUGACUUUGGAAAUUACAUAGUGCCCGCUGCUUGGGAACAGAAACCUACAAAAAUACAUUUUGCUGAAGCCAAAAAAGGCAGCAUGUACGUGCUCAUUAUGACGGGACUUGACUUCCCAACUCGAGGAAGACCAAGAGGUAGAGAAUGGUGGUACUGGGUUUUCGGAGAUUUGGUAGUUGGACCGGGAUUGGGACGUAAAGGAAAGACUGUUAUGGCUUACAUUGGGCCCAGUGAAAUGAAGAUAUAUUCAGGUCAGACAAAAUCAAAAGAGGACUCCAUGAGGCAAAUUACAAUGAAGCUCCCGUAUCAUGAGCUCUUCAUCAAAGGGACACCCGUACUCGUCACGUUUCCAAUUUUUUUGUACCUUAGCAUCAAAAUCAUAACAGCGGAUCCUUUGAAAAAGACACCUCAAGAAAUAGAAAGCGCUCUAAAAAAGUUCAAAAUAAUUCCGGACGUCCUAGACGUAGCACCAAAGAAAGCUAUAAAAAUUUAUUAUGAGACGGAAGUAUUCCCAGAUUUUGGAAACGAAUUAAACGCGGAGGAUUGCGCGACAGAACCCUAUAUGAUGGAAUGGGGCGCUGAAGAAGAGAAAUAUUACUUAUUCGUUAUGAUCCUGACUAUGCAUCUCAAAAUGAUUCAAGUCAGCAAGGGCAGUACGAACAUUCCGUCGUGGGAAAUAUACAGUUUGAAAACCUGCAACGAGGAACAUACAUGUCGGACUACCAUGGACCUAAUCCACAGCCCAACACAGGGUAUCAUAGAUACGUCUUUCUAAUCUAUGAACAGCCUUAUGAACUGGAGUUUGCGGAGAAACGAUUGACCUGGCCGAAGUAUGGUGACGAGCGAAGAUUCAACUUUUCAGCCAAAAGAUAUGCUGCCAAGUACUACCUAAAUCCACCAAUUGCCUGUAAUUUUUUUGUGUCUAAAUGGCAGCCUCCUCGGAUUAAAAAUACGACCACUUUGAAGCCAAGACCAACUCCAGCCUACCCCUGGUGGUAUCUGGCACAUUAGCGUUUAUUUAGAUUACCUAUAUCCUAUUUGUUAAUAAAUAAACGAUUUUCUUUCA